rnacentral:sRNA from 1 species
UACUAGCCCCGAUAAUAGCGGCAUCCUCUUGUGGUAGCGACAGCGGACACAAGAGAUAUAGCGGAUAGCGGGAAAUAGC